GAGGUGAAACUUUAUUUCAAGCAGUGUGCGUAUGAGAUGCAAGCAGUGCUGAGCUUCGAUGCUCGUGUUGUUGGAAGUAUACUGUGAAGACAUUGAGGCGUUUUUUUGGGACAGUUCAUGUGUUGGCUUAUGGAGUAUCUACCUUAAACAGUGCAGUUGCUUGAACCGCAGUCAUGGUUUGCUAUUUGUGGUAUUGGUCUCGCUGGAACUGGAGUUAACGCUGAAUACACAAGUCAGAUGCAUGUGUAACUC